GGGCCUGUAGCUCAAUGGUUAGAGCCGGUGGCUCAUAACCGCUUGGUUGGGGGUUCGAGUCCUUCCGGGCCCACCA
rnacentral:tRNA from 1 species